AACUUGACACCCCCUAAGUAAAUUUAGUGAACGUAACUGCUGAUUCAGCAUCACCCUGCAAGGACCAUGGAUCGAACCCGAAAUCUGCCGAUGUCUGUUGGCGCUCCAUCGAACCGCGAUCUGACCGUAGGACUAAUCGGGGCCAUCGUAUCGCUCUCCGUCACCAUGUAUCAGAAUAUGGCGAACAACAUCGAAGACGCGGAACUGCUUCAAUUCAUGGUCCCAAUUCAGCAGCUGUUGAGUAGACUAAUUCUUCGGCUCAAAAAGCCAGCCACUCCGCGUUUAACUGCUGGAACAACUCCGAGAAGAACUGCCGCUGGUGCGAGGGCCAGUCCAUCUACUCCCAAGCGUCCACUUCAGACCCAACCUCGCCAGUUACUAACGACGCCCAGGACAGAUCGUACGAGAACCUUCAACUCUACCACCAAUCGUACACCGGCCUCGGAUAUCCCUCCUGGAUGGCGUGAAAUUUCAAAUCUGGACGACUACUUUGACGAAUCUUCCGGAAUGGAACUGGGAAUGGGUAGCGAAGGCACGUUCGAUGAAACUCCAGUGAUUAGUGGCUUCGAGUACUCGCAGGACAUGGAUUACUACCCCUCGUUGAACCCGAACGUAGCGGACCUAGAAUCGAGUGACCAGUUCUUGCCAGUUCAUCAGAGUACCCGGCGGCAUUUCGAUGACACCUAUAUUCGACAAUCACCGGCUGCUGCUGGUGCGCGAAUGCCCAAAAGAGUGGAAGAGCUGCGAAGUGCAAGUGGUUCUUCGAAACGGACUUUCCGUAAGGCGGAUGGUACUUACGCUGUGAGAGAAACGAUCAACACUACCAAGCCAGAUGGCAGCUUCCAACGCAUUACCAGGACUGUGAGUGGACCCAACGUGUCCGCGAUUCAAAAUUUAAGUGACAGCGUACCUGAGUUACCGAGUUUGGAUCGUACAAGGACGGUUCCGGGGUCCGGUUCAGGAGCAGGACCAACGGCUAAUGUCACUUUUGAUAUCAACCCGCCCCCUUCAUAGUGCUGCAGGGGGUUUGAGAAAUCUGAGAGUGAUCGCACAUUCUGAGCUUUAUUUUGUGAUAGUUUUUGUUACAUUUUUGGUUUGAAGAAUGCAAUAAAUUAUACGAGUAUUUUAGUGAAA
rnacentral:lncRNA from 1 species